rnacentral:rRNA from 1 species
UGGGGAAUUUUGGACAAUGGGCGAAAGCCUGAUCCAGCAACGCCGCGUGUGUGAAGAAGGCCUUCGGGUUGUAAAGCACUUUUGUCCGGAAAGAAAUCCUUGGCUCUAAUGCAGUCGGGGGAUGACGGUACCGGAAGAAUAAGCACCGGCUAACUACGUGCCAGCAGCCGCGGUAAUACGUAGGGUGCAAGCGUUAAUCGGAAUUACUGGGCGUAAAGCGUGCGCAGGCGGUUUGCUAAGACCGAUGUGAAAUCCCCGGGCUCAACCUGGGAACUGCAUUGGUGACUGGCAGGCUAGAGUAUGGCAGAGGGGGGUAGAAUUCCACGUGUAGCAGUGAAAUGCGUAGAGAUGUGGAGGAAUACCGAUGGCGAAGGCAGCCCCCUGGGCCAAUACUGACGCUCAUGCACGAAAGCGUGGGGAGCAAACAGGAUUAGAUACCCUGGUAGUCCACGCCCUAAACGAUGUCAACUAGUUGUUGGGGAUUCAUUUCCUUAGUAACGUAGCUAACGCGUGAAGUUGACCGCCUGGGGAGUACGGUCGCAAGAUUAAAACUCAAAUGAAUUGACGGGGUCAUAGCUGUUUCCU